AUUGAACGCUGGCGGCAUGCCUUACACAUGCAAGUCGAACGGCAGCACGGGGGGUAACCCCUGGUGGCGAGUGGCGAACGGGUGAGUAUAAUUUGGGACCUGUCCCGGUCGCGGGGGUAAACUUUCCGAAAGAGGGACUAUAACUGAAUAGAACUUACGGGGGAAACGGGAGGACUGCAAGCCUUCCACUUUUAGAACCGCCUGACAUCGGAUUAGCUGUUGGGCGGGGUAACGGCCCACCAAGGCAACGAUCGGUAGCUGGUCUGAGAGGACGAUCGGCCACACUGGAUCUGGGACACGGUCCAGACUCCUACGGGAGGCAGCAGUGGGGAAUUUUGGACAAUGGGCGCAAGCCUGAUCCAGCCAUGCCGCGUGAGUGAAGAAGGCCUUCGGGUUGUAAAGCUCUUUCGGCGGGGACGAAACGGUUCGUGCUAAUACCACGGACUACUGACGGUACCCGCAGAAGAAGCACCGGCUAACUACGUG
rnacentral:rRNA from 1 species